rnacentral:rRNA from 1 species
UACGAGGGGGGCGAGCGUUGUUCGGAAUUAUUGGGCGUAAAGGGUGCGUAGGCGGUUUGGUAAGUCUGAUGUGAAAUCUAUGGGCUCAACUCAUAGUCUGCAUCGGAAACUGCCGGGCUUGAGUGUGGGAGAGGUGAGUGGAAUUCCUGGUGUAGCGGUGAAAUGCGUAGAGAUCGGAAAGAACACCAACGGCGAAAGCACUCUGCUGGGCCGACACUGACACUGAGAGACGAAAGCUAGGGGAGCGAAUGGG